rfam:Gossypium arboreum cultivar AKA8401 contig_166_21, whole genome shotgun sequence.
UGUUAAAAGUUUUAUUUAUUUCUACUAUUAAAAAUUAAUGUAGCUGACGGAAUAACUAGAUAAUUACAUGUGAUAUACCAUAUGUACCUCAUAUUGACAUACAAUAACCCGUUUUUAAUAGUAAAAUUGGAUGAAAUUUUUAACA